UACAGAGGUCUCAAGCGUUGUUCGGAAUCACUGGGCGUAAAGGGUGCGUAGGCCGCACGGUAAGUCAGAGGUGAAAUCCCGGAGCUCAACUUCGGAAUUGCCUCCGAUACUGCCGUGCUUGAGGACUGGAGAGGAGUAUUGGAAUUCACAGUGGAGCAGUGAAAUGCGUAGAUAUUGUGAGGAACACUAGUGGCGAAGGCGAAUCUCUGGACAGU
rnacentral:rRNA from 1 species